rnacentral:piRNA from 1 species
UUAACCGUGAAAUAAAACAUGUUCUGAGCA